CUGGAAGCACUCAGAGUGAUAUGUGCGCAAAAGACAAAUGCGGCCAUUGUUUCUCUCUUUCCUACUAAGAAGCCAUCUGUCCCGUUGAUAUAUUAUCGAAUAGAUAUUUGAAAAACACCUUGAGGAUUGAUUAUAAAUGAAGUUUGCCAUGUUUCUGUCGAUAUUAUGGAGCUAAUUUUGAAUAUUUUGUAGUGCAAUUUCCGGUUGAAUUCUCAGCCAAACGUGAAGAACUAACGGAGUUAUUUCGGCUACAAAAGUAAUAUUUUUGGAAAAAAGGAACAUUUGCUAUCUAACUGGGAGUCUCGUGAGUGAAAACAUCCGAAGCUCAAAAGACAAAGUGCAGUUGGGUGCAGACUGAUCCCCUGGUUAUGAAUGGAUGCCAGGACGUACCAAAAGGAGCAAAGCUUGUCAGGGAAGACCUCCAAAUAAAUGUGCGUCAUGGGAGAAUUACCCUUGUUACACCACCUCCAUUGUUGCCAAAAUCUCCCUCGACUCUUAUGAAAAGGACACGCCAUCAUGAGGCCUCUGAGAUUGACCCAAGUUACUGCCCUGAUGACAAAGAUGGCUCCAUCAACAAUGACAGGUAAGGCCCUCCCAGGCAACACCACCUCAUAAGAUUGCACGCUGCAGUUGCUUGAGGGAUGUCAAGCUUGCAGCCUAGAGAAGACCAGCAAGGAGGCCCUCAUCAGCAUCAUGCAGAAAUGCUCUCGCUUUGAGCAUUCCUAUGAAUGGAACAGUCAAACACAUUUUGUAUAUUUGAUGAGGGGCCAGGAGCUGAUCUACGCUGCCAUGCCAACCAAUGUGGAGCUGGCAAAGAACUUACCUCCAGCCACCUCAUCUGCUCACCAACGGUUGUUGAUGGGUAGACCAGCAUUAGAUGGAUCAAAUGAGCCAGCACUUGGAGACUUGCAAGAUGAUGUGAUGGAGUCCUGAUCGACGGGCGGGCUUGGUACAGACGUCUCUGAAUGGAGAGAGACCUGGCACUCAACACAUCCACAAUGUGGGGCUGAAGAUGGAGAGUACUGUAGAUGCUAUUGCCAGAAGCCAGACUCAGUCGUCUGAUGGCGAGACCAGAAUUAGGUAGGUUUAGUCUGACCUGUUCAAACUUCAACAUAGUAUGUUUGUUGGUCAGAUAUCACCCAUCCUAACUGCCAUUGGUAAUAGUACAAUGACUAUGUGUGUAUGUGUUCACAAAAACAUGUAUGGAGCCAGAACAUGGAGACUUGCAAAAUGAUGUGAUGAAGUCCAGACUGACAGACAGGCUUGAUACUGAUGUCUCUGAAUGAAGAGACCUGGAACUCAGCAUUAAAAGUUUACUAAGACAAA